rnacentral:rRNA from 1 species
GAUGAACGCUGGCGGCGUGCCUAAUACAUGCAGGUCGAGCGAACGGACGAGAAGCUUGCUGCUCUGAUGUUAGCGGCGGACGGGUGAGUAACACGUGUAUAACCUACCUAUAAGACUGGGAUAACUUCGGGAAACCGGAGCUAAUACCGGAUAAUAUUUUGCACCGCAUGGUGCAAAAGUGAAAUACGGUCUUGCUGUCACUUAUAGAUGGAUCCGCGCUGCAUUAGCUAGUUGGUAAGGUAACGGCUUACCAAGGCAAUGAUGCAUAGCCGACGUGAGAGGCGGAUCGGCCACCUUGGAAGUGGGACACGGUCCAGGCUACUACGGGAGGCAGCAGAAGGGAAUGGUACGCAACAGGCGAAAGCCUGACGGAGCAAGGCGGCGUGAGAGAUGAAGGCCUUCGGAUCGUAAAACCCUGUUAUUAGGGAAGAACAGAUGUGUAAGGAAAUGUGCACAGCUUGACGGUACCUAAUCAGAAAGCCACGGCUAACUACGUG